rnacentral:lncRNA from 1 species
AGGAAAAGCUGUAGACUUUAAGCAACAUAUGAUAUUAAAAAAAAAAAAAAAAAUUAAUUAUAUGCUGGUAGAUUUGGUCUAAUUUACAUGUUGAAUCUGCAUUUCCACCUCUCUCUAUAAAAUUGAAUUUCUGGGAUGCAAAAGAUAUAAAACUAGAGCAAUGGAUACCACCAGAAGGGCAAAGUUUAUGAUGGCGAUGCUAGUGGUCUUUCUAAUACUCGACUGCUUCCCGGCGGGUUAUGCAUCGGCCUCCUCUGCCACUCCAGAUUAAUAUUUCUAAUCAAUCGUAUACGUAAUCACAGAGAAAUCUCGUAUUAGACACGCAAUUUGGUUUUUGUUUCAGUUCAGUACCUCAAUUAAACAUUUAUUAGUUUUUCUCAGGGGCAAACCAGAAUUAUAGUUCAGUGGGGCGAGACACAAAAUGGGCUAAAAUAAAUUUUGAAAGAAAUCAAAAAAAUCUGAAAAUUUAAAUUUAACAAGGUCCAAUUAAAAGUUUUUGAAAAUUCAUUGGUGACGAUCAACCCCACUCGUCCCUUAAUGGGUCCGUCCCUGAUUUUUCUUCAGGAUGCCCGAGGUAGAAGAGAGCAUCGAAAUGAAAAAUCUUGUCAUAUAUUCUAUUUAGAAAAACCCAGGAAUUUUACUUGAAUGACUAAAAUAAAACCAUUGACAAACUUUAACGACAACUUUGCCAUGAAACUGGACUACAAUUGAGCGACUAACUGGGUUUUUUGUGCUUAGGGACAAGCCGGGAGCGUAGUUCAUCAUGGUGCUUGAGAAGCAAAUCUAGAAAAUUAGUUAUGGAUUGCCGGAGGCAUUUCGUUUUUCUAAAGACCAGCACUGCCUCCGAAAGCCUUAGAGUGGUUGUCAGUCCCCCGCCGGCACCAAGGCACAACCUACCACCGCCUCCCCAGUCUUGAAGUUUCCAAGUUUAGUCUCUUUCUUUUCCUAAGCAAAUUUUAUGCGCCAAAGAAUUUUUAUUGAUGUGUUGUGUAUUAAAAAACUAAAUUUCAUGAACAAAAAUAAAUAAAUAAUAAAAAUAUUGUGAUGAAGAAACAAGAGAGUGAAUUCAACUGCAAACCACCUUUUUAGGCCACUUUGAUGGAUAUCUUUAUGUAAUUUAAAAGCCUGUCAAGAGCCCUUCCACUAUCAAUGGCCUCUCUAGCUCUGUCCAUGGUUAUGGAGAUAUCUUCUGCACCAUCAUAUCGUAGCAAAUGAUCAACCAUUCCCGUAUAUAAAACAAUUCGAUCAUAUGCGGAACCAUUCUCCCCGCGUAGAUCUGCUAAUCCCAACUCUGUUUCCUCAUCACCUGAGAUAUUAGGGAAAUAAACAAAAGCGCUGUUUCUUUGUCAUGGUACUCGACUACUUAUAUAAAGAUAAAACUUCCGACAUGUGAGAAGUGAUUACUCUAUGUGCUAGAAACGUUUGGUCCAUGUUCGGUAUACAAUAGCUCGUAGGACUAAAGAGUUUAAUAAAUAAGAUUUUAACUUAUUUUUCUUCCUUGAUACUAAUAUUUAAUUUUCACUACUAAACAUACCUUUAAAGUCUCCCCCCUCCCUCUCCCAACCCCCCGCAAGGCAUAAAGAUAAAUAAUGACCAUGUGCAGGAGUGGAGUCAGCACUGGCGAGUCCCUUAAGCUGCCCAUGCUGCUCGACUCCCGUUCGAUCAGCUGUCCAUGCUUACCUAGAUUUACUAUUGACCAUGUGAUCAAAAUACAAGAUCAAAAUCAUGGGAAUUAUUUUGUCUUGAAACAAGACUAAGUAACUAGUAUAAAAACCAAAACUUGAAUACUCAAGAACAAGAGAGUUAAGAGACUUACAGAUCUAUCAGUUCUUGGAGCGUCAAUUGGCUCAAAGCCAUAAUCCUUGGCAAUUACAGCGAUACUCCUACUGAUGGAAAAAUAUUGUUCAAAAUCAAUAAAGAGGCGUGUGGAAUGAAAGUGAAGAAAUUGAGGCGUGUCUUCAUAUCGCGUGAGACAGUGCAAGGCCUCUAGCCCCUGCUUCCAAACAAGGAUUCUUCUAUGCGACCGCAUAGGAGGUUCAAUUAACCAUUGGUGGCGAUUUUUUGAUUCAAAUUUGGCGGCCUUUCACUUAUACUUUAGCACUACUUCGUAUAGCAAUGUUUCAUGGCUAUAAAUAGGUGGUUGAUGAUAUUUUUAACAUCAAGAAAAACACUUGAUUACAUUUGUGAUCAUAAUCUUCAUUCCUAAAAGAAGAAAUCAAAGUCUUCUUCAUCCAUAUUCAAUAUUCCCUUUGUCUUCUUAAGUUUUGGAGAAUUUAUACAAGUGCUUAAAUAUUAAUUCUCUAC